UACGAAGGGGACUAGCGUUGUUCGGAAUCACUGGGCGUAAAGCGCACGUAGGCGGAUAUGUCAGUCAGGGGUGAAAUCCCGGGGCUCAACCUCGGAACUGCCCUUGAUACAGCAUAUCUUGAGUCCGAUAGAGGUGGGUGGAAUUCCCGGUGUAGUGGUGGAAUGCGUAGAUAUCGGGAGGAACACCAGUGGCGAAGGCGGUUGCCUGGAGCUUUGCUGACGCUGAGGCGCGAAAGCGUGGGGAGCGAUCCGG
rnacentral:rRNA from 1 species